CUGCAGGCUUGGUGGCAGAUGCUUCAGAUUUGGCUUCCUCAGGCUUGGUGGCUGCUGCAGUUUUUGCUGCCAAUGCAGCCCGCCUAUCUUGUUUUUUCUUAAUCUGAAACAAUAAAUUAAGUUGUCAAUAACGCAAUGUUAUCCUGC